AUUGAACGCUGGCGGCAUGCCUUACACAUGCAAGUCGAACGGCAGCACAGGAGCAAUCCUGGUGGCGAGUGGCGAACGGGUGAGUAAUAUAUCGGAACGUGCCCAGUCGUGGGGGAUAACGUAGCGAAAGCUACGCUAAUACCGCAUACGAUCUAUGGAUGAAAGCGGGGGAUCGCAAGACCUCGCGCGAUUGGAGCGGCCGAUAUCAGAUUAGGUAGUUGGUGGGGUAAAGGCUCACCAAGCCAACGAUCUGUAGCUGGUCUGAGAGGACGACCAGCCACACUGGAACUGAGACACGGUCCAGACUCCUACGGGAGGCAGCAUGGGGAAUUUUGGACAAUGGGCGCAAGCCUGAUCCAGCAAUNCCGCUGCAGGAUGAAGGCCUC
rnacentral:rRNA from 1 species